rnacentral:rRNA from 1 species
CUCCCAGACUCCUACGGGAGGCAGCAGUGAGGAAUAUUGGUCAAUGGGCGCGAGCCUGAACCAGCCAAGUCGCGUGAGGGAGGACGGCCCUACGGGUUGUAAACCUCUUUUGCCGGGGAGCAACGGGCGUCACGUGUGGCGCCACUGAGAGUACCCGGAGAAAAAGCAUCGGCUAACUCCGUGCCAGCAGCCGCGGUAAUACGGAGGAUGCGAGCGUUAUCCGGAUUUAUUGGGUUUAAAGGGUGCGCAGGCGGAAUGUCAAGUCAGCGGUAAAAUUUCGGGGCUCAACCCCGUCGUGCCGUUGAAACUGGCGUUCUUGAGUGAGCGAGAAGUAUGCGGAAUGCGUGGUGUAGCGGUGAAAUGCAUAGAUAUCACGCAGAACUCCGAUUGCGAAGGCAGCAUACCGGCGCUCAACUGACGCUCAUGCACGAAAGCGUGGGUAUCGAACAGGAUUAGAUACCCGAGUA